rnacentral:rRNA from 1 species
GACAGAGGGUGCAAACGUUGUUCGGAAUUACUGGGCGUAAAGCGCGUGUAGGCGGCCCUGCAAGUCGGAUGUGAAAUCCCACGGCUCAACCGUGGAAGUGCAUUCGAAACUGCAGGGCUAGAGUCCUGGAGAGGAAGGUGGAAUGCUUGGUGUAGAGGUGAAAUUCGUAGAUAUCAAGCGGAACACCGGUGGCGAAGGCGGCCU